UACAGAGGGGGCAAGCGUUGUUCGGAAUUACUGGGCGUAAAGGGCGCGUAGGCGGCCUGCUAAGUCGAACGUGAAAUCCCCGGGCUCAACCCGGGAACUGCGUCCGAUACUGGUAGGCCUGAAUUCGGGAGAGGGAUGCGGAAUUCCAGGUGUAGCGGUGAAAUGCGUAGAUAUCUGGAGGAACACCGGUGGCGAAGGCGGCAUCCUGGACCGACAUUGACGCUGAGGCGCGAAAGCCAGGGGAGCAAACGGG
rnacentral:rRNA from 1 species